rnacentral:rRNA from 1 species
UACGAAGGGGGCUAGCGUUGUUCGGAAUUACUGGGCGUAAAGCGCACGUAGGCGGAUAUUUAAGUCAGGGGUGAAAUCCCAGAGCUCAACUCUGGAACUGCCUUUGAUACUAGGUAACUAGAGUAUGGAAGAGGUGAGUGGAAUUCCGAGUGUAGAGGUGAAAUUCGUAGAUAUUCGGAGGAACACCAGUGGCGAAGGCGACUCACUGGUCCAUUACUGACGCUGAGGUGCGAAAGCGUGGGGAGCAAACAGG